GAUGCUGGUGGUUGGCACUCCUGCUUGCCAGGAUGGGGUUCAAGUCCCUACAGUGUC
rnacentral:sRNA from 12 species